UUCCAGACUCCUACGGGAGGCAGCAGUGGGGAAUAUUGGGCAAUGGGCGCAAGCCUGACCCAGCAACGCCGCGUGAAGGAAGAAGGCUUUCGGGUUGUAAACUUCUUUUCUCAGGGACGAAUAGAUGACGGUACCUGAGGAAUAAGCCACGGCUAACUACGUGCCAGCAGCCGCGGUAAUACGGAGGAUGCGAGCGUUAUCCGGAUUUAUUGGGUUUAAAGGGUGCGUAGGCGGGCUGUUAAGUCAGCGGUAAACGCCCGGGCCCCACCCCGGGCGAGCCGUUGAAACUGGCUGUCUUGAGAUGUCGAGAGGUAUGCGGAAUGCGCAGUGUAGCGGUGAAAUGCUUAGAUAUUGCGCAGAACUCCGAUUGCGAAGGCAGCAUACCGGCGGCGAUCUGACGCUGAGGCACGAAAGCGUGGGUAUCGAACAGGAUUAGAUACCCCCGUA
rnacentral:rRNA from 1 species